GUGCCAGACUCCUACGGGAGGCAGCAGUGGGGAAUAUUGCACAAUGGGGGGAACCCUGAUGCAGCGACGCCGCGUGGGUGAAGGAGCACCUCGGUGCGUAAAGCCCUAUCGGCAGGGAAGAAACAGACGGUACCUGACUAAGAAGCCCCGGCUAACUACGUGCCAGCAGCCGCGGUAAUACGUAGGGGGCAAGCGUUAUCCGGAUUUACUGGGUGUAAAGGGGGCGCAGACGGCAAUGCAAGCCAGGAGUGAAAGCCCGGGGCCCAACCCCGGGACUGCUCUUGGAACUGCAUGGCUGGAGUACAGGAGGGGCAGGCGGAAUUCCUAGUGUAGCGGUGAAAUGCGUAGAUAUUAGGAGGAACACCGGUGGCGAAGGCGGCCUGCUGGACUGUGACUGACGUUGAGGCCCGAAGGCGUGGGGAGCAAACAGGAUUAGAUACCCCCGUAU
rnacentral:rRNA from 1 species